rnacentral:rRNA from 1 species
UACGAAGGGGGCUAGCGUUGCUCGGAAUCACUGGGCGUAAAGCGCACGUAGGCGGACUCUUAAGUCGGUGGUGAAAUCCUGGAGCUCAACUCCAGAACUGCCUUCGAUACUGAGAGUCUCGAGUCCGGGAGAGGUGAGUGGAACUGCGAGUGUAGAGGUGAAAUUCGUAGAUAUCCGCAAGAACACCAGUGGCGAAGGCGGCUCACUGGCCCGGUACUGACGCUGAGGUGCGAAAGCGUGGGGAGCAAACAGGG